rnacentral:rRNA from 1 species
GACGAACGCUGGCGGCGUGCUUAACACAUGCAAGUCGAACGGUCAACCUGCUUCGGUGGGGGAUCAGUGGCGGACGGGUGCGUAACACGUAGGCAACCUGCCCUCAGCUCUGGGAUAGCUCCAACAACUUGGGGCUAAUGCUGGAUCUGACCGCUGACCGCAUGGUCUGGUGGUGGAAGGAUUGAUCGGCUGUGGAUGGGCCCGCGGCCUAUCAGCUUGUUGGUGGGGUAGUGGCCGACCAAGGCGGAGACGGGUAGGCCGCACUAGAGGGGGCCCGGCCACACUGCGCCUGAGAGAGGGCGCAGACGGGUACGGGAGGCAGUGGGGGAGAACAUUGCGGAAUGGGGGCAAGUCAGAGGCGGCGACGCUGCGUGGGGGAAGACGGCUUUCGGGUUGUAAACCUCUUUCAGCGGGGACGAAGCGAAAGUGACGGUACCUGCAGAAGAAGCACCGGCUAACUACGUG